rnacentral:misc_RNA from 1 species
AGAGGAAAUUGCUAAGGUAAGGGUUCUGGCAAAUAAAUCUUCUAAUUUGUGAUUGUUAGCAUGUUUUUUCUUCUUCUUCUUGGACAACUUGAAGUUUGCUGUCCUUUUUCCGUGUUAUUACUUUUCUGCUCAGUGUCCAUGCAUAUUCACCCUGAUGAUAUAGUUGUGAACUUGAAUUUGAUAUUUGAGCGGCGUCAACUUGUGAAUCUUGCUUUCUCAAUUACGUUGUUAGGUGUGCUUGUUUCAGCAGCUAUUGAUGAUUUUUAGGCACAUAUAUUAUGGCCCUUCCUAUUCUACAUUAAAUCCUACUCUCAAUAUGUCAUUGAUCAGAAAGGGGCAAAGGACGUUUCAUGUUUUAAUGAUUACCGAAGUCAAUAUGGUGUGCAUGUGUUUUUUAAAAUGCUUGUAAGCCUCCAGUAUUUGGGCAAUGAAAUAAGUAGAGUUCACAAGGGUUAAGCAUGCCAUGGUAGAUCUUUACCGUAUGCUUCCCACAUAAUCAGGCUAAGCUACUGUUCUUCACUCAUAUAUAUAUAUAAUUUUUCUUGGUUUUUCCUUUUCUCUUUCUUCCAAAGUUGUUGUGUCCCUUUGGUUACUUUAUAGCCUUGCUUUCAUCUUUUGAAAUUCUAAAAUGGUGUUUGCAACACUUCUGCAGGUAUUAAAUCUGGAGAAUAUGG